rnacentral:rRNA from 1 species
GCGCAAAUUACCCACUCUCAGUUCGAGGAGGUAGUGACGAAAAAUAACGAGACGGUUCUCUAUGAGGCCCGUCAUCGGAAUGGGUACAAUUUAAACCCUUUAACGAGGAUCUAUUGGAGGGCAAGUCUGGUGC